GACGAACGCUGGCGGCGUGCUUAACACAUGCAAGUCGAGCGGUAAGGCCCUUUCGGGGGUACACGAGCGGCGAACGGGUGAGUAACACGUGGGUGACCUGCCCUUAGCUCUGGGAUAAGCCUGGGAAACUGGGUCUAAUACCGGAUAUGACUCCAUGACGCAUGUUGUGGGGUGGAAAGCCUUGUGCGGCUAGGGAUGGGCCCGCGGCCUAUCAGCUUGUUGGUGGGGUGAUGGCCUACCAAGGCGACGACGGGUAGCCGGCCUGAGAGGGCGACCGGCCACACUGGGACUGAGACACGGCCCAGACUCCUACGGGAGGCAGCAGUGGGGAAUCUUGCGCAAUGGGCGAAAGCCUGACGCAGCGACGCCGC
rnacentral:rRNA from 1 species